GGAAAAGGCUUAUGAAAUUUAUAGUACAUAUCUUUAAAAUGUAUUACAAGCUAACUACUUAACUCCAGACUGACUAAUCAAUACCCUGAACAGAAGUAACAAUGUUAUCGUCGUAAUUAAUAAGACAUAAACAAAUACAACACUCCAUUCCAUGAAACACGAAGAAAACAACUAGAAGGCAGCUAGUGCAUGAUACAGAGUGGAGAUAUUUUGGAUGAACAGAAUUAAAGUCUCUAGUCAAGGUCCUGGCGAGCAUUUUGGAACCACACGAUCGCAAGAGUGACGAGGGAUGCAUAUAUUGAAUUGGGUAGUUUUUGAACCACCUUUCCAACGCCUGGGACACCCUCUGUAGCCUUCUUUGUUGCCAUUGCAAAUGUGGGUGCUACAAUCAAAGUUAGUAUCAGUCCCUGACUAACAACAAUGAAUGUGUCUGCUGUUAGCCGCUGAAUAAACUUCACAAAUUCAUCAUGGUCAAUUCCCCCAUCAAGGUUGAGGUCACACUCCUGGACAGAAAGGAUAAAAGAUUUUUAAUUUCAAUCCAUAUAUAUGAAGGGAAAUUAGGCUAAAAAGAAAUCUUCAUACAAACUGCUCAAGAACUACAGAGAUGAGAAAGUUGAAUCGAGUCAUUUGUUUUAGUUCAGGUCCUUCAUUUCCCAUUUCAGUUAUCAGUAUAAGUUCUCUGGAUCAGAUUGUGCUUUUAAAUGCUAGACCACUUUAAGAACAAAUUCAGCUUCCAUGAAACAUCCAAUCUAUGGUAACUUACUAAAACACACAAGUAUAAAUCAAUGCCAAUUUAGACAAUUUUUAAGUACCAAACCCAUAAUGCUGGCAACUUCCUAAAGGCGGCAAAACCAAGAUUUGAACAUUUACAAGCAAAGCAAUGGGGUAAACCAUAACCCAAUCCUUCCACAAGUAUUAAACUUAACCGGGUGAAGCAUUCGUCUUUGAUUAAGGUUUUAAAGAAACCUCAGGUAAUCAGAUAACAAUGUUGUUGAACUCAAGUGUCUGAAAACUUUUUUCUUCACAAGGUGCCUUAAACUUUUACUGUUCUUGAACAAGCAUAACUGAAACAUGCCUUCUCAUCAAACACAGCCACCUAGACAGGUCCACUUCUAAAGCAUAUAAAUCUUAGUUUCUACUUGUUCUUCAACAAGCAAGAUACGAAUGAUAUCAGUAAUAAAAAGGAAAAUCAAAACAAUUAAUAGCAGGGAUCAGCCUCUCAAAGAAUGCCUUGGGUUUAAAUGUUCAUGCCAAAUAAUUCAAGUACCUGAAUCAUGGUUCUGACUUGAUCUUUGGAGGGUGGAUCAAAAUGGGGACCAGGCAACAGCUUAUUGAUAUCACUGCAACAUAAAAGAGAGAUAUAUUAAAACAUAUUCCUAUGCUUUCACUUGUUGACAGAGUAUGAUAUUCUUUCAGACCGAAAAGAUUCAAAUUUCAGCAUACCCUCUAAAUUGAUUUUCAAUCAUUAGAACAGAGAAAUUAAGAUUGUUACUUGUAGACAAGUAGGACAGCAAUGUACAGAUCUUCGAACGACAGAUCAGCCCUUCCUGAUUCAUUUUUAACGCGAUUAAAAACCCGGUCUGUUAUCAAUCUUAUUUGCCUGUGCCUCCACUCCUUACCAUGAAGUUUGCCGAGGAGCUGCCCCAUCGGGAUAUCCUAUAAACGGUGUCGUGAGCUGCAGACUGGCACUGUGAUUUGAUCAGAGCAAAGAGUGCCUUGUUUUCCUUUCGGGGUUGCCAAAGACAGUUUAUCGUUUGGAAGAGGAUCUUGUGGUAGGAACCAGUCACUGGAUAACAAGGCAGAGAUAAAACUGGUUGUCUGGUUCCUACUUCCUUGUCUUUUGGGAGAGAAAGAGGAAGGUUCCUCUGCGCCAUGUUCCACAUAAUUUAGAUGAUGUGGACUUUCAUAUACCUGCCACGCCUUG
rnacentral:misc_RNA from 1 species